rnacentral:rRNA from 1 species
CAAGGCGACGAUCCCUAGCUGGUCUGAGAGGAUGACCAGCCACACUGGAACUGAGACACGGUCCAGACUCCUACGGGAGGCAGCAGUGGGGAAUAUUGCACAAUGGGCGCAAGCCUGAUGCAGCCAUGCCGCGUGUAUGAAGAAGGCCUUCGGGUUGUAAAGUACUUUCAGCGGGGAGGAAGGUGUUGUGGUUAAUAACCGCAGCAAUUGACGUUACCCGCAGAAGAAGCACCGGCUAACUCCGUGCCAGCAGCCGCGGUAAUACGGAGGGUGCAAGCGUUAAUCGGAAUUACUGGGCGUAAAGCGCACGCAGGCGGUCUGUCAAGUCGGAUGUGAAAUCCCCGGGCUCAACCUGGGAACUGCAUUCGAAACUGGCAGG